rnacentral:rRNA from 1 species
CCUACGGGUGGCAGCAGUCGAGAAUCAUUCACAAUGGGGGAAACCCUGAUGGUGUGACGCCGCGUGGGGGAAUGAAGGUCUUCGGAUUGUAAACCCCUGUCAUGUGGGAGCAAAUUAAAAAGAUAGUACCACACGAGGAAGAGACGGCUAACUCUGUGCCAGCAGCCGCGGUAAUACAGAGGUCUCAAGCGUUGUUCGGAAUCACUGGGCGUAAAGCGUGCGUAGGCUGUUUCGUAAGUCGUGUGUGAAAGGCGCGGGCUCAACCCGCGGACGGCACAUGAUACUGCGAGACUAGAGUAAUGGAGGGGGAACCGGAAUUCUCGGUGUAGCAGUGAAAUGCGUAGAUAUCGAGAGGAACACUCGUGGCGAAGGCGGGUUCCUGGACAUUAACUGACGCUGAGGCACGAAGGCCAGGGGAGCGAAAGGGAUUAGAUACCCUGGUAGUC